rnacentral:lncRNA from 1 species
GAACCUUUGAUUCCGGGUUCAAAAUUAUCUGAAACUAAAAAUGUUGGAUGGAAGGUUAGUUCUCUUAUAAGCGCUGUAGGACAUGCAUGGGCACGUACGUACACUGACGACAAUACAUGAACCCACACCAAGUCCGAGCAAGCACAAAGACAAAUGAUGAUGAUGGUGCAUGGACACAGCAAUAAUCGAUUGCCUUAGCUCUGACUUGAGCACAUCUUGCUCUCGAAAUGCAGAAUCUGGCAAAACUUGGCACAGAUGAUGAAUGAUGAGUGAGCUUAUUAAUUCAGGAUGUGAUCUUAUGGUUGGUUUCUUCGUUUGAAAAUUAAACAUGCAGUCGUAGUACUAAUGCAUUGAUAAGAUACUACUGAAAACAAUUUAGAGAUUAAUUCUACUCUCGACACACCACAGACGAACCUACGGAACACGCCACCAGCAUAUCAAGUUCAUACAGCAUAAAUAUAUAUAUAUAUAUAUAUAUAUACAUCCAUAAUUUUUUUAGACAGAAAAAUCAAUACAUAAAUACUGUGACAAAAAUGAUCUAGAUGGAUGAUGUUCAAAUUAAACUUGCUUCUGUUAGCAAGAGAUCGAACGAAGGCUAGAAUGCAAAAGGGGGUGCUGUAAAGUAGUAGUGCUAGAAUUACGUACCAAAAACAGACACCGGUAUUGCUUAUCUUUCACUAUAAGCAAUAGUGAAAUGCCAACAAGAUGAAAGUGAUGAACAAUGGGGUGUAGGACCUUGGAACUGAGGAACGGAGGUGCUUGGAGAACUGACAGGAGAGAAAGGGCAUGGGGCAGCUGGACCUGUCAUCGGUCAAGUCUGUUGGAAAUACUUUGAAGGUGGUCAAAAGGGAAACUAAAGAGAGGAAAAAUAGGAGGGAUAAGGUGACGCCCGACUACGUUUCCCUCGUGAACGUCCACCUCGCGCCUCGAUCGGAGGCGCAACCGAACUAUGGUUGUGGCCCCGAGCGACCCUGCGCUAUAAGAAAAGGGGGCCCGGUGGGUUUUGGGUUGACUGCUAACGCACCAAAACCUCCAGAGAACUCCUCCUACACGCCAACCCGAUCGUGGCAACGCUGGAAUCGCCCGAAGGCUACCGCCACACCACCAUCGCCAUCCCUGGACAGACGAGGUAGAGGCCCGAAGGCAGGCAUAAUCUACGACAAGCUUGUACACCUACGGCUAGUACAUCUACGGCAGCUCCCAUCCCGGCCUCGUCCACGACAAUCAUGGCCGGAUCGUCGCAAACUAUGGCUGCUGGUUGGAUGUCUCAUCCCUACUCUAAGUGGUGUUCAUGUUCUUAGAUGCGUAAGAUCCUGUAUAGAUUAAGACUUAGUAAUGUAGUUUCCUACAUUUGCUAUCAGUUAGCCAAUGCAUCUAGACAUGGACUAGACAUGGACCCUAAGGCUGUGUAGAUUGAAUCUUAGUGUGCAAUUGAGUCGCAUUGUACUGGUUUUCUUUGUUUUGAUCUACACAGUAGCUGUCUAGUAUGAAUUGCUAUGUUAUUAGGCUUAUCCCUAUUCGGCUACAUGUCACUGCUCGAGUUAGUUCACUAGCAUGAUCUAUUAAGUUAAGAUUAGACCGAAAUAGAUCUUAGUUAAGCCAAAUUUCAUGCCUAAGCUACUAGAUCAGAUCCUAAUUCAUGUAAGUGACUAAGGUUAGGAUUCGGCUACUGUUUUUCCCCGACUACCCACUGUUCAGAUCCAAACCCGCGCUGUUAGUACCCCACGUGCAUAAGCAAUUAAAUCACGAAAGCAUUUAGAAGGAGGGGAGAUCGAUCGAAAGAUCAUAAGAAAGAAAUCCCAAAAGAACCUCACCCAACAAGCAGCCUCAGAUCGCUGCGCCCGGAACACCUCGAAUUCGCGCAGCCAUCAGCCUUGGCCGCCGCCAUCGUCGCCGGGCAGAGCCGCCGGACACUGGCGCCUAAAACGCACCCGCCUCGCCAUCAGGCUCCACGGCGGAGCCCCUCGACGGAUCCGCGCGCGACCAGAUCGCACGCCGGCUCCAGCGAGAGGGCCCGCAGUAGGGCAUGGCUGGGGCGACGGCAGGGCGGCCACCGGUGGCGAGGGGUGCUGCUGGAGGCGGAGAAGAAGGGGAAGAGAAGGGAAACAGCUGCUCGGGCCGGGGCUCUUGCGGCGCAGAAGAGGAGCAAAAUGAAUUAGGGUUCACCGGGAUGCGCACGGCUGCUGGUUUUGCUCCUCCGAAACCCACGCACAGCCGUUGGAUUGAUCCAACGGGUGAGAUUCAGGUGGGCGCAUCGCACGGGCCGAAUUGGUUGCCUGCCCGUCUGCUGCUGGGCUGAGAGCCCAUGCAUGAGUGUGACUGAAAGGUCUGGGUCGAAAGAACGUAUGGACCAGGCCAUAAGUUGGGCCGCGCGUCACGCAUAGCUAGGCCAUAAAUACUCCUAGGCUGUUCUGUUUCUGCGUGGCAAAUUCGCUGGGCCGUAAGUGGGCUGCUGCCAGACUACGAUGCGCCAUGCCAUUCACAAGCCGCGACACGAGUAUGCAGCACUUUAAGUUGGACCGAGCAAGUCUUGUUUUUGCUUAGUGCGCAUAGGGCCGGUUGCGGGAUGGUUAGUUGAGUCUGGGCGUUUUGAGUUCUUCGCACAGUCCACUAAUUAUUAUAAGUUAAGCUACUUAAUUACGCCAAUUAAGUUCUCAGUUGCGUAAUUAGUUAACUCAGUGAUGAAUUUCUGAAUAAAUAGAGCCAACGCGAAUUUUAUUUCAGAAUAAUUUAUUAAGGCACGCAAUUAAUUUCUGACCAACGUUGAUAUUAAUUGAGUGUGCAUUUUGUUUAAGUUUUAAGUAUUUUGCUUCUGCCCAACGGUGUUGCAAAAUUGAUUCUUGUUAUGUUGUUUAAAAUUUUUCAGUAAUUUACUUCUGCCCAAUGGUGAUGCAAAUUAUUUUAUGUCAUUUUAAUUAUGUCUUUGUUUCUGCCCAAUGGUGAUGCAAAGUUGUUUACGUUUUUAAUCGAGCCAACGCACUAUUGUCAUCAUUACUAAUUAAGAAAUUUCUUUAUUUUACUCAGACUUGACUCCAUCAAGCGUCAUAAGCUAUGUCAACGGCAUACAGAAGCUUGGGGGAGAUAACUUUACCAACUGGAAGAAUGAUAUUGGGUUGGUCCUUUGCAUCAUGGACAGGGACCAUUCCAUGAGGGAUAAGUAUCCUGUUGCUCCUACUGCUCAAGGGGAUAAUGACACCACCCUCCCUGAGGCCUGAGCGCGCUGCUACCUAUGAGAAGGAAAAGGAGCGGUGGGAGCGAUCAGAUAGGGUAGCCCUAAUGAUCAUGGAGCAGACGAUAAACCCGGCAAUAAGGGGAGCCAUUGAGAAACAUCCCAAAAGUGCCGUACAUUUUAUGGAGAAGGUUGAGGAGUACUUCAAAGGCUCCAGUAAGGCUAAUGCUAGCACCCUCCUGACUAAGCUAAUGAACACCAAGUAUGAUGGACAAGGCAGUGUUAGGGAGCAUAUCAUGAGUCUCAUUGACCUAAGGGAUAAGCUCAACGACUUGAAUUGCCCCCUUAAUGAUGAGACACUGCUUCAUCACAUCAUGCUCUCGCUGCCUUCAGUGUUUGAACCCUUUAAGAUAAACUAUAAUGCCAGCGACGCGAAGUGGGAUAUUCCCACACUCAUCGCGAAGUGUUCUCAGGAGGAAUAAAGGCUCAGAUCAGAGAAGGGUGAUUUUGCCAACCUCAUCAGGCACGAGGUGAACAAAGGCAAGAAUAAGCAAAUCGCUCCCUUUAAGAAAAUUAAGAAAAAUAAGAAACCUAAUCAACCUCCUCCUCCUAAGAAUGAUGGGUCAUCCUCGUCUAAGGGUCCUAGAUGCCAUCACUGCAAGGAUUAUGGACAUAUUAAGAAGCACUGUGCUCAGUUCAAGGAAUGGUGCAUCAAGAAUGGUAAUGAUGACUUGAUUUCUAUAAUCAAUGAGUCUUUUUAUGUAAAUUUUCCAUAAAGUUCAUGGUGGAUUGACUCUGGGGCUACCAUUCAUAUUACUAAUUCCUCACAGGGAUUACGUGGCGCGCGGACUAUAAGAAGGGGGACUCACGCUGUUAAAGUUGCAAAUGGACUUGAAGCUGAAGUUGAGGCUAUUGGAGAUCUCUCUUUAGAACUUAGCAAUAACUUUAUACUUCAUUUAAGUAAUGUCCUUUAUGUACCGUCACUUAAGAGGAACUUGAUUUCAGUUUCAGCAUUAGAUUGUGAUGGAUAUUCUUGCAAUUUUGGAAACAAUCAGUGUGUAAUAAGUUUUAAUAAUAAGAUUAUUGGUCAUGCCCCUUUGCAUGACAAGCUUUACUUAUUACCUCUAAGUGUUAAUUCCUCUGUGAUGAAUGUAAGCGAUGUCAAUCAUAAGCGUAAGAGAAACACUGAGACUUCGUUGAAAUUGUGGCACUUCUGCUUAGGCCACAUUUCGAAGGGGAGGAUGGAGCGUCUCAUUAGAGAAGAGAUACUUCCAAAAUUAGAUUUCUCUGACUUAGAUCAAUGUGUUGAUUGCAUUAAGGGAAAAUUUGCAAAACAGAUUAAGAAGGAUGGAGCUAAGUGCAGUUCAGGAUUAUCAGAAAUAAUUCAUACUGAUAUAUGCGGUCCAUUUAAUGUAAGAUCAGUGGAUGGUUAUAAUUACUUCAUCACCUUCACUGAUGAUUUCUCCCACUAUGUAUACAUUUAUCCCAUAUGCGAAAAGUCUGAAGCACUUGAUAAGUUUAAAAUCUUUAAAGCUGAAGUAGAAAAUCAGCAUGACUUAAAGAUUAAAGUGGUAAGAUCAGACAGUGGAGGGGAGUAUUAUGGGAAACACUCCACAUAUGGACAAGUUCUGGGACCCUUUGCCAGAUUUCUCCAAGAUAAUGGUAUAGCAGCUCAGUAUUCCACUCCUGGUGAGCCUCAGCAAAAUGGUGUUGCUGAGAGAAGAAAUCACACCCUUAUGAACAUGGUGCAUAGUAUGCUCAGUAACUCUACACUGCCAGUGAGUUUGUGGAUGGAAGCUUUAAAGACUGCCGCACACAUUAAUAAUCGUGUUUCUAGUAAGUCAGUCCCUAAGACUCCCUAUGAGCUUUGGACUGGUAGGAAGCCCAGCAUGAAUUACUUACAUGUCUGGGGUUGUGCAGCUGAAGCUAAGAUAUUCAAUCCACAACUUGGAAAAUUAGACUCUAAGACUGAAAGUUUCUACUUUAUUGGAUAUCCACAAAAGUCAAAGGGGUACCGCUUUUAUUGUCCUAAGCGUACCACUAAGUUUGUGGAGACAAGGCAUGUUGUCUUCUUAGAGGAAACCGGAUGUGUUGAGGCUAGGAAAAUUGAUCUUGAGGAGGUUCGGACUUAUGAGCCGUUACCCAUAAGACAGGAUUAUUAUGCUCCUAUGCCACAUACCAUAGUUACGUCUCAGGUUGUGGAACCUCCAGUAAUGCAAGGGGAGGUAACACCUACCUUAAGCGAAAAUGUAGAUGCACCUAUGAUAAGUGAGCAUCAAAGUGAAGAUGUGACAGGAACCUGCUGAUGGAUUGCAAGGGGAGACAACUGAUGAUCCCGAGGUGAUUCAGCAGGAACCUACUCAAGAAGAAACACCACAGGCAGUAGCACCACAACCUCUGAGAAGGUCAACACGUGAGAGGAAGUCCAACCUUUCCGAUGAGUAUGUGUACACAAGUGAAGAAGUACACGACAUGGGAAGGGUGGAUGACCCAAACUCAUUUAAGAAAGCCAUAGAAAGUGAGCACUCGCAUAAGUGGUGUGAGGCCAUGGAAGAAGAGUUAAAAUCCAUGGAAACAAAUAGAGUAUGGGACUUAGUAGAGAUUCCUGAAUGAGCCAAAACAGUAGGCUGCAAAUGGGUCUACAAGACGAAAUAUGACUCUAAAGGGAAGAUCGAAAGGUUUAAAGCAAGACUCGUAGCUAAGGGCUUCACUCAAGUGGAAGGAGUCGAUUAUAAUGAAACAUUCUCGCCUAUCUCCAAGAAAGAUUCAUUUAGAAUCGUUAUGGCCUUAGUAGCUCAUUAUGAUCUUGAGCUGCAUCAGAUGGACGUUAAGACUGCGUUCCUUAAUGGUGACUUGCAUGAGAAUGUAUACAUGAAGCAACCUGAGGGUUUCGUCAUGGAAGGCAAGGAACAUUUGGGAUGCAAACUAAGAAAAUUCAUUUAUGGAUUAAAACAAGCAUCCAGGCAAUGGUACCUUAAGUUCGAUGAAGUAAUUAAGCAAAUUGGCUUCAUGGAAAAUAAGAAGGAUAACUGCAUAUAUGUUAAGACUAAGGGGAGCUCUAUAAUCAUCCUAGUGCUUUAUGUGGAUGACAUCCUGUUAGCAAGCAACGAUAAGAACUUGCUGCAUGAGACAAAAGGAUUUCUCUCAUCGAAGUUUGACAUGAAGGACCUCGGUGAUGCCACUUAUGUCUUAGGCAUUGAAAUUCACCGAGAUAGGUCCAAAGGUGUAUUAGGACUCUCUCAAAGAGCCUACAUAGAGAAGGUCCUUGAGAGAUACAAUAUGAGCCAAUGUUCAGGCACAGCUGCUCCGAUUGUCAGGGGCGAUAAGUUUGGGUUAUUUCAAAGUCCCAGGAAUCAAUUAGAAGUUGAUCAAAUGAGAACGAUUCCUUAUGCUUCAGCUGUCGGAAGCAUAAUGUAUGCACAAGUGUGUACACGCCCUGAUUUGACCUUUAUAAGCGGGAUGCUUGGAAGAUAUCAGUCUAAUCCAGGAAUAGGCCAUUGGAAAGGAGUUAAGAAAGCCUUGCGUUACAUGCAAGGCACUAAGAAUUACAUGCUAAUGUAUAAGAGAACUGAGAAAUUAGAGAUGAUCGGCUAUUCAGAUGCUGAUUUUGCGGGUUGUGUUGACACAAGAAGAUCCACAUCAGGUUAUGUCUUCACACUUGCAAAUGGGGCUAUAUCGUGGAAAAGCUCCAAACAAACACUAACAGCUGCAUCGACAAUGCAAGCUGAGUUUGUGGCAUGUUAUGAAGCUGUGGGCCAAGCUGUAUGGCUUAAAAUUUUCAUCCCAGGAUUAAGAGUGGUAGACAGCAUAAGCAGGCCACUGAAAUUAUAUUGCGAUAAUAAGUCAGCAGUUUUCUAUUCAAAUAACAACAAGUCAAGUGAUGCUGCAAAGCACAUUGAGCUUAAGUAUCUUGUUGUGAAAGAUAGAAUCCAAGAUCACACCAUUGAGUUAGAGCAUAUAAGUACUAAGAAAAUGCUUGCGGAUCCAUUAACAAAAGGCCUACCUCCCAUUAUAUUCAGUGAACAUGUUGCCGACAUGGGGUUAUCAGAUAGCCUGUGAUCUUGGAGGGUCAUAAGAUAACCAUCUACCAUCAUGAUACGUAGUUUUAUAUAUUGUUGUUACAGUGGGAUUUUAAUCACCAUUGUCACACAUUGUCUCCCUAUAUAAUUCUGCUUUAAGAAUGGCAUAAGUUAUAGGCCUUUAGACCAAAGGGGAGAAUGUUGGAAAUAUUUUGAAGGUGGUCAAAAGGGAAACUAACAGAGAGGAAAAAUAGGAGGGAUAAGUGUCGCUGUCAAGAUUUGCGGAUCAAGACUACGGCUAGUAAAUUUCUUUUAUGCGCGUAAGGCUUUGGAUGGUGGCGUGGGAAGACACGGGGUUAGACCGGUUCGGGCAAGGAAGGCCCUACGUCCAGUAUGAGGAGUAGCUCGUGUUGCCCACGUGGGGUCUAUAGUAGGGGUUACAAAUGAGCGAGAGAGGGAGCCGGUCCCAAGUCUCUUUUAUGUGCACUGAUGCUCUAGAGGAGAGUGUAUGUGAGUUCUGUUAGCUUGAGAGUCCCCUUGUCUCAGGGCCCCGGUUCUCCUUUUAUAGCGCAAGGAGAGCUCGGAGUUAUAGAUGAGUCAGGUGUCAGGAGAAGUAAAAGAGAUAAUUAUCUUAGGGGUCAUUAGGAGGUCGUUAAUGUUUCCCCCCAACAGUAGCCCCCGAGCCUAUGGUGGAGCGUGAAUGCUCCUCUAGAGGCUGCUUUCGUCGGUCGUCGGGGAUCUCUGCUUGUCCUGCAAGCUGCAGUUAAUCAGGGAUAAGGAGUGUUGUUUGCUCGGCUUGGCCGGGGAGAUUGAUCAGGCGAGGUGUCCUGUGGGUGACUUGGCGCGUGGGGAUCUCUUGUUGUUCCAUAGGGCACCUUCCGUCUGGAGACUUCAAGUCGUGACCAUUCGCUUGGUCAUUGGUUGCGAUGCUAGCCCCCAAGCCCCCGCGCGUUGCAGGAGACCAGUCGGGAGGCUAGAUCGACUUUUGAAUGUUACCCCUCAAGCAUCCAUUUGCUGAGAUGGAGGGGUUGAGCCGUGCCAUGCUAUCCUCGCCGGAUGAAUCGUGGUGCUCGUUGAGCUACAAAUGGGUCGAUUCGAGUGGGGUCCCGGUCCCCGUUCGGAGGGGUCCGGCUUGGGCCAAGCUGGUGGCGUACCCCAGAUUCCGGCCGGCCAGUCCAUAUAGUUCUCGAGUCCGUUCGAUCGGAUCCGGGGGCUCGUUGCCUUUCUUCGGGGAAAAACCAUGAACUUUGGUGCCGAUCCGGACUCGAAUGUGAGGUUGGGACGCCCUAGGCUGUCGCUUGCCCAGGUGAUCAUCGCUAGCAGACCCGUCCCUUCUCACCCCUCGCUCGGGGGUGUCUUGGGGCGGCUGUCGAAUCCGUAGUGGGCCAGCCUUCGAACCCCUGGACCGUAGGCCGUAGGGGCGUUUUCAGCCCCGUAUCCCAUUUUUACCUUUUGGUGGGCCUUGGGCCGAACAUGGAGGAGGUUGUGCGCGUACGUUCUCCGGGAAGCGAAUUGGCAGAAGACGCUGGCCCGUGAAACGAGGGAGGAGGGGAUGUUUCCUGCACCAGGUCGUGCGAACAACAUCCAAAAAAGGCGGGCGUGACGGGGCGUACCUGGCACCACAUUUACUGCGAUGGGGCCGCCUGUUCUGCUUCCCACGCGUCUCCCUAUAAGACGGGGAGUCCGCCUCGCCGGUUCCGCCCGCAACUACUCCCAAGUCUUUUCGCCUUCUUGCGCGCCCUUUGCCUUCUUGCGCACCGUUCGCCUUCCUCUACCUAGCACCGUAGCUUCCCUUGCCCUCCACCGUCGAGCUUUCCACCCCCUAGCGAUGGAGUCGCGCUCGAACUUCGGGUCCUCGUGCGCUGACGGCCUUGUGAGGAAGGGCCUCCUCUGUGAGAGGACCGACAGGGGCGAAUGGUGGUUCCCCGGGAAUGAAGAUGUGCCAAGCCCGGGCGACGGCUACAUCAUCUCCUUCGCGCACUUCCACGAGAAGGGGUUCGCAUCCUCGCCGAGCCAUUUCUUCCAUGGGCUGCUGCACUACUAUGGGCUCGAGCUGCAGCACCUCAAUCCACCACGGGGAGCUCCGCAACCCACCGGCCGUCGAACUUUUUGAGGCGGUCGAAGAUCCGUGGCUUGAGACCCUGGAGUAUCAUGCCGUUGGCCCGUUCAACCUGCCCGUUCAUGCGGGGAUGCGCCACGGCCGACCAGUCCACUCGGAUGUGGUGGUCGUUGCAGAACUGGAAGAAUUUCUUCCCGGUGAACUGCGUGCCGUUAUCCAUGAUGAUGGAGUUGGGGACUCCGAAGCGAUGGACGAUGUCGGUGAAGAAUUGUACCGCCUGCUCGGACUUGAUUUUCGCUACUGGUCGUGCCUCGAUCCACUUGGAGAACUUGUCGACGGUGACAAGCAGGUGGGUCAAGCCCCCGAGUGCUUUCUUGAAGGGCCCGACGAGGUCCAGACCCCAGACUGCGAAGGGCCACGUGAUGGGGAUGGUCUGGAGCGCCUGUGCGGGCAGAUGAGUUUGGUGCGUGAAGAAUUGGCACCCUUCACAGGUGCGUACCACGUGGGUGGCGUUGGUGACCGUCGUUGGCCAGUAGAAUCCCUGCCGGAAGGCGUUCCCAACAAGGGUUCUUGGCGUCGCGUGGUGGCCGCAGGCUCCGGCGUGGAUGUCCUGAAUCAACACCUUUCCCUGCUCGAUCGGGAUGCAGUGCUGGAGGAUGCUGGUGUGGCUCCGCUUGUAGAGCUCCUGGUCAAUGACGACGAAGGAUUUGGCGCGACGCGCAAUCCUACGUGCCUCCGUCUUGUUCGCCGGGAGCGUCUUGCGGAUGAGCUAGUCGAGGUACGGAGUUCUCCAGUCAGACGGAGGGUUGGGCCUCUCUACUGGGUUUGCGUCGAUCUCCAUGACCUCGGGGACAGAGGGAUCGGCCUCCGGAUCUAAGGUAGAUGGAGAGCUGCCGACCCUUUCAGGGUCGGCACCCGAUCCCGGGACAGGUGGCGCGUUGCCGACCCCCCCUCCCCAGGGUCGGCGUCCGAGUUUGGGGCAGGUGGCGCAUCGCCGACCCUUCCCAGCUCUUUGUAGCAGAUGGAGGGCUUGUACUGGUCGCUGACGAAGACGCCGUUGGGGACGGGCUUUCGGUCGGAUGCCGCCUUCGCCAGUUCGUCAGCUGCCUCGUUGAAACAUCUUGCGACGUGGUUGAGUUCCAGUCCGUUGAACUUUUCUUCGAGCUUGCGGACCUCGUUGCAGUACGCUGCCAUCUUGGGUUCGUGGCAGCUCCACUCCUUCAUGACUUGUUCGACGACUAGCUGAGAGUCGCCUCGGAUGUCCAGCCGUCGGAUGCCCAGCUCGAUGGCGAUGCGAAGCCCGUUGAGGACAGCCUUGUACUCAGCGACAUUAAUAGAUGCAGGAAAGUGGAGGCGGAUCAUGUACCUCAUGCGCACGCCGAGAGGAGAGACGAAGACCAGACCCGCUCCGGCACGGGCCUUCAUCAACGACCCGUCGAAGUACAUUGUCCAGUACUCCUGCUUCUUCGGCGCGGAUGGCGUUUGGAUCUCCGUCCACUCUAUGACAAAGUCGGCGAGUACCUAGGACUUGAUGGUUGUACAGGGGGCAUACGUGAUGCCCUGGUCCAUGAGCUCGAGUGCCCACUUCGCGAUUCGUCCCGUGGCGUCCUGAUUCCGGAUCACUUCACCGAGGGGGAGCGACAAGACAACCGUCACGGGAUGGGAGGUGAAGUAGUGGUGCAGCUUCCUCUUCGUGAUGAGGGCGGCAUGGAUGAGCUUCUGGAUCUGCGGGUAGCGCGCCUUACUUCACCAGUUUGGAGCUGGCCUUGAUGUUCAAGGAGUGCUCGACGACUUCCCUCGGAAUGCCGGGCAUGUCCAGGGUUUCCACGUGAAGACGUCGUUGUUCGUGUGGAGGAAGUCGACGAGUGCGCUUUCCUAUUUGGGAGAUAGGGAAGCGCCGAUCUGUACGGUCCGGCCGUCGGAGCUGCUGGGGUCGAGGGGGACCUCCUUGACGCCUUCGGUGGCUUCGAAGGAGGUGUCUGACUGCUUGGAGUCGGGCUGGUCCUCGGCACUCUCCAUGAGCUGGACCGCAGGAUCCUCUAUGCAGGUGAUGGCUGCGGCAUAUUCGCAGCACUCUACGUCACACUCGUACGCCCUCUGGAAUGAUGUGCCGACGGUGAUGACCCCGUUGGCCCCCGGUAGCUUGAGCUUGAGGUAGGUGUAGUUGGGGAUGGCCAUGAACUUGGCGUAGCAGGGCCACCCCAAGAUGGCUUGGUAGGUUCCACGGAAACCCACCACCUCGAAGGUGAGGACCUCCUUCCUGUAGUUGGAAGGAGUCCCGAAAGUGACGGGCAGGUCGAUCUGCCCGAGAAGUAUCGCCUGUUUCCCCGGCACGAUGCCAUGGAAUGGCGCCUUUCUGGGGCGGAGGCGGGAGCGGUCGAUCCCCAUGGUGUCAUGAGUCUCGGCGUAGAGGACAUUGAGGCCGCUGCCUCCGUCCAUGAGCACCUUGGUGAGGCGCGUUGUGCCGACGAAGGGGUCGACGACGAGCAGGUAGCGUCCUGGCUGCAGGACGCGCCCCGGGUGGUCGGACCGAUCGAAGGUGAUGGCGGAUCCCGACCAGUCGAGUAAGGCCGGUGUAGCAGGCUCGUCCGUGUAGACCUCGCGGCGCUCCAGCUUCCGGUGGCGCUUGGAGUCGUAAGCCGUCGGUCCGCCAAAGAUCAUGAAGCAGCCGUCCACCUUGGGGAAGCCGUCUUCCUUCUCUUCAUCGUCCUUCUUCUCCUCUUCGGGCUUCCGUCUCCGGUCGCCCUUCACCGGGUUGCCUACAAAAUACCUCUUCAUGAGGUUGCAGUCUUUGUAGGCCUUCUUCACGGGGAACUUGUGGUUCGGGCACGGUCCCUCAAGCAGCUUGUCGAAGAAACCGGGGGUGCCCUCUGGGGGCGGCUGUCCCCGCUUGCGUUCAGCAACGGCCGCGAGGGGAGCCUCGCGCAGCUACUUAUUCUUCUUCUUCUGUUGGCGGUUGGAGGUGCCCUCGUCGGCGUCCUCCUCCCACUUCGCCUUGCCCUUCGAGCAGUCGAAGAUCACCCCGAUGGCUUCUUCGCCCAAGGCGAAGCUGGUGGCGAUGUUGAGGAGCUCCUCCGUGGUCCGCGGGCCCCGGCGUCCCAGCUUGUGGACAAGAGGCCGAUAGGAAGUUCCUGCCGCGAAAGCUCCUAUGACGUUGGCGUCCGCGAUGUUGGAGAGCUUGGUGCACUUCCUUGAGAAGCGUCGGAUGUAGUCCCGGAGGGACUCGUCUGACCCCUAGUGGCAGCUCCUGAGGUCCCAAGAACUGCCAGGGCGCAUGUACGUGCCCUGGAAGUUCCCCACAAAGAUCUCCUUUAGGUCGUUCCAGCUACGGAUACGACCCGAAGGGAUGUGCUCCAACCAGGCUCACGCCGAGUCGGCCAGAAAGAGUGGGAGGUUGCGGAUGAUGAACAGGUCAUCGUCCGCUCCACCGGCCUGACAUGCAAGCUGGUAGUCAUCGAGCCACAGUCCGGGGUUCGUCUCCUCGGAGUACUUGGCCAUGUUUGUAGGCUGCCUGAAGCGCGCCGGGAAUGGCGCGUUUAGGAUGCGUGCGGAGAAGCCCCUGGGCCCCACUGGGUCGGGGCUCGGGCUGCGAUCUCCCUCGCUGUCGUAGCGACCACCACGGCGGACGCGAUAGCCGCGGUCCACCCCCUCCUCCCUGUCCGCGCGGGAGCACCUCCGCGCGUCCAGAGUGUCACUGGCAUCGCGGAUGGGGCCGCCGUGCCGGUGAACGGAUUGAGCCCUGCCUCCUGCGGGCGGCGGAGUCCGUCGAGCGGGCGCGGCCUUGUUCGCCCUAGGGGAGGCUAGUGGAUAGACUACACCCGCCUCUCGGGAGGUGCGGUAGGAGCUGCCCUGCUGGUGUUUUGCCCGCGUCACCGGGACGCGGAGCUCUCCGCCUGCUGGACGGUGGCGCACUCGAGCAGGUUGCGCACCUCCUGGUGUGCCUGACGCUCCUUGGGCGUCGCCGGCUCGGGGAGUCGUCGGAGUAGGGCCGCCGCUGCGGCAAUAUUCUAGCUGGCGCGGGCGAAGAGCUGAGGGCGAUCUUCAUCCGUGCAGAUGCCUUGCUGGACAUCGCGCGCCCGUUGUCGUGCCUCGCCUUCGUUGCGGGGGCGCUCGACCUCCUGGUGGGGCGCCGCGCGCGCCUCCGGCUGUCAUGGUCGCACUGGGGCCCUUGCGAGGGCCCCAGUCGUAGCGGCGGUGCGCGGUGGGGGAGUCCGCUGCCUCCCUUCGGUGCCGUCAUCACUGGACUGUGGCGGAUCCACUUCGGAUUAGCUUGGUUUAACAUGGUUAAGUCGCCUAACAUGCGACACCGAUGCCUUAGCCAAGUUAACACGAGAUGCCGUCGGAUUUCAUCCGAUUUAACCACUUGAACAGGACCGCUUUAGCAAACUCACACGAAGGUGAGGGGUUUCAGAGAAUACAACAUGUCCACCGAGUUAACAACUUAACCACUUGAUUAAAUUUCGAAAGAACAUCAGAGUUUUACAAGGUCCAGAAAACAACAGAGGUAAACACUAGUGGAAGCAAUCGUCGAGGUCGGAUGUCCUGGUGAGGCCAGCCGGGACAUCACUGAUUCCUCUCCUCGCCGUCCGAGGAGGGAUCCCACUCGACCGUCCAGCCCGGCGGAAGCUGGGGCGGCCAAGCGCCAGCAAGAGCGGGGUCGGGAGCAGCAGCUUCACCUGAAAAACAGGAGCCACAACAAGGCUGAGCUACUAAGCUCAACAAGACUUAACCGAUAGGAGUAAGCUACUCCCCACUUCUAGACAUGCAGGGCUUUUGGCUGAGGGGGGGGUUUGUUUGCCAAAAAGCACUAAGUAAAACCCUAUUUUCAAGUUUUAGCUCCGGUUCUAAGUUCAUUAGCCGGUCUAGGUUUUGCAACCUAUUCUAAGCAAUCAUAGAGCCAAACAAGAUGUGUAGAUAUAUCAACAAACAUGUCAUCAUCAGAUUCCUCAUUUACUCAGGGUGACAUAGCGAUCAAGCAAUCUCAAACUGUGAGAGGCAGACGAAUCGAUUCGAGUUCUUUAACCAUGCAUGGUGAACCUAACCUCACGACAUCCGCGCACCCGGAGGUCGCUUCCUGUGUCGGCCUUCCCCAUCAAUCCCCUAACCCGUGUCGGGCCCAUUUCCUUUGGUGCAAGGUUCCACCGACCCGGCCUCUGCCGUUCUGUGACCACGCUUGCCACCACGUGCGACAUCCAGCAGGGGAAACUCCGUUCCAAGAACAAUGGGGCGACCGCUCACGUCUAGGUUCAAUCCGGUACUAGGCUUCCUUAUCCCAUACUAAGUAUGAGGCUAGUACUUUCAAACACUUGAUCACGAACACCACCACUGUCGGGCCUUAGCAAGAUUUCAUAGACAGACGGGGCGACCAUCCGUCCACCAAAGAGUUACCAAAACCCUGCCCCGUCCAUCGUCCUUAUAGUUAUAACAGAAAGGGGUAGACAUGCAACUCCUACAACUCGCGAGUGAUAGGAAAUCACUCAGCUUUUACCGUCUUCUAGUUAAGCAAGGCAACUACUCGGUCCAACAGCUAGUGCUCAGAACAUGGGGAUAACUAAGUCAUGCAUCUAGGGUUUCAAACAACUCCUAUACGUAAAUGCACAAGCAUGUUACAGAAGGCAUGCGCAAGUCUGGUAAAACACACAGGGUUUUUAUGCAACCGGGGCUUGCCUUCGAGCAAAGAGGAGGAGAACUGCUCGACUUCUGGGGCAGCUUCGGCUUCAGCGGGCAGGAGCUCAGCUACAGCUUCGUCUUCUGGCGCCGGGUGUAGCUCGUAGAAGCCGUCGGCGAGGUGCAGCUCUACACGAAUGCAAUGCAAGAGUUAGCAUAGACGGUUAUUUCAACAGCAACACUGGCUCGCCUGAGCCCAGAAACUCGCGACAAGGAGCAGGGGGGCUAGGGAGGUUCAAGAGAGCUGGUGAUGAUCAAGAGGCAAGGGUCGGAAAGGAACUUAUGAUCUGAUCCUUGAACUAGAGGAUGUGGUAUACUAGGAAUCCUCAGACGCAAGCGCUGAAGGGUUCCUAAAUUUUACACAUACACCCUCGGGUUGAAGAAAAAGAUCAUAGCCGAGCCCUCGGGCGAGGCGGAUAAGGGUCGGCGGAACAGAUAGGGUCGGGCAAGACGGGACCGGGGUCGGGCGGAUAAGAGGGGUCGGGCGAAGCGGACUGGGGUCGGCAGCUUACCUUCUUCCUGAAAGGAAGGCUUGGGGUCGGGAAGAGGCAGACUUGGGCGGAGGGACUAAAGCUUUGAACAACGGCUAAGACCGGCAAUGCUCCGGCGGCGGCGAUGCUUCUUGCAGAUCACAAGUAAGCUUUUACGCAGCACGGAGGAGCAAGCGGCUGGGUGACUUGGAGAAAACUGAGGGAGAAGCUGAGAGAAGAGUUCCUCAAGGAACUUGGCGUGUGGCGCUAGGAGCUUGAGCAGGGAGCGAGAGAAUGGCUGAAGGCAACAAUGGCGGAGGGAACUCCGGCGGCUGGUGCAUCCCUUUUAUAGCUGCUGGAACGGAGAAAGGAAGCGGCGCGGGAGAGAGAGAGAAGGGGAGCGGCGUGAAGGCCGGGGAGAAGCAAUGGAGUGCUCUGCCGGGGCGGCGAUUGAGCGAAGAGGGCGGUGGUGCAGGACUCCGGGGGUGACGCCAGCGGUCAUUGGGUUCUGCCGUCAGGGCGGUGCAGGAGCGGGUAUGCCGGUGGUUGAGAUUUGGCGGAGGCGGGCGUCACCGUGCGGAAGAUUUGAUAGAAGUGACCGGUUAAACGGCGCUAGAAUCGAGGGCGCACAGGUGAGAAGACAAGCAGCCGCGGGCGCACGGGCGAGCGCGGAGCAACAGAUUGUCGGGCGGCUUCUGACAGGGCGGGGAAAAGAGCUGUCGCUGCCGUGGUCGGGGUUGGCAGUGGAGGAAUCAUCGUGUAGCGGAGACCAGGCGGCGCGACUGAGAUCGAAGUGACGGAAAAGACGGGCGACAUUGGGCUCUGGGGCCGGGAUCUGGCGGCGUGAUGAUGGGCGCGGGAGGCGAGGCUCUGCAGAAAGGUUGCAGAGGGGCUUCCGCCGCCAUUGGGGAAGGGGGCGCGAGAAUCCACUCGGUCGCGUGCCAGAGACAAAACUGAGCGGCGGCGUCGGAGAAGAUGAGCCAUGCGGCAGGGAGACUAUGAAGCGGGCAUGCAACUCGAGUGCGCCUGUCGCGGAGGAUCUGAGGAAAAAGAUCUCGCGGGUCCACCGGGCGGAUAGAACGGACGUUUGAGGGAGACUUAGAAGGAUCCGAUGGUUAACUGGAUUUGCCGGGGUCGGGAUCGGAGCGAAGCGGGGAGGGGUCGAGUCUCAGGGGUCGGGAUCGGGCUGAAGGCUGAGCACUCAGGCACGGUAAAAACAAGGCAGAUGACUAUGAUCAAGGGCUCCGAUUAAGAUUAACUCGGGAGAUUAGGGGUCGGUCGUCACAGCCUACCCCUCUUAAAAAGAAUCUCGUCCCGAGAUUCAGGCAUCAAAAGCGAGGUGCCGUUUUUACCUCCUUGACGAGAUAGAAAACCGGGGAAGCGCUUGUUCAGAUACUCGUCCAUUUCCCAUGUUGCUUCAUCUUCGGCUUGGUUUCUCCAGAGGAUCUUGUACAUCUUUACCACUUGGCGUCGGGUAUGCCUUUCCUUCUGGUCAAGAACUCAGUCUGGGUACUCGGCGUAGGUCAGGUCGGGCUCUACCUGAAGCUGUUCUUGCUCUAAGAUUUCUGCUGGAACUCGGACACAUUUCUUCAGUUGAGACACGUGGAAAACAUCGUGUAUGGCCGAUAGCUGCUCCGGGAGUUGGAUCCUGUAAGCGACGGGUCCACAUAUCUCCACAAUCUCAUAAGGGUCAAUGUAACGGGGAGCUAACUUGCCCUUUACUCCAAACCGUUGUACUCCUUUGGUCGGGGAGACUCGAAGAUACACAUGAUUACCAAGGUCGAACUGCAGGGGUCUUCUCCGCCGGUCGGAGUAACUCUUUUGUCGAGAUUGGGCAGCCUUGAGAUUAGCUUGAAUUACCUUUACUUGCUCUUCGGCUCCUGCCACCAAGUCGGGGCCAUAGACCUGUCUUUCUCCUAUUUGGGACCAGUUCAAGGGUGUCCGGCAUCUCCGGCCAUACAGGGCUUCGAACGGCGCCAUCUUCAAACUGGCCUGGUAGCUGUUGUUGUAGGAGAACUCUGCCAAGGGCAGACACUUGUCCCAAUUCUUGUCAUAGUGGAUGACACAAGCUCUUAACAUGUCUUCGAGGAUCUGAUUGACUCUCUCGGUUUGGCCAUCGGUUUGAGGAUGAUAUGUUGAGCUUCGGAUGAGCUUGGUGCCCAUGGAUGCUUGUAGCUGUUCCCAAAAACGUGCCACAAACUGAACUCCUCGAUCAGAGACGAUGGUCUUGGGUACACCGUGUAGGGAAACUAUGCGGUCGAGGUACAACUCUGCAUACUGCUUGACUGUGUAGGUGGUGCGGACAGGAAGGAAGUGGGCGGUCUUGGUCAAACGGUCCACUGUAACCUAGAUUGAGUCAUAUCUCUGCGAUGUAAGGGGCAAUCCAACUAUGAAAUCCAUGCCGAUGUCUUCCCAUUUCCAAGAGGGAAUAGGUAGCGGUUGCAGGGUACCUGCUACCCUUAAAUGACUGGCCUUGACGCGUUGACAGGUGUCACAUUCUGAAACAUACCGGGCAAUUUUCGGCUUCAUUCCACUCCACCAAAAGGUUUGACGGAGAUCAUGGUACAUCUUAUUGCUGCCAGGAUGGAUUGAGAACUUGGAGAGAUGAGCUUCGUCUAAGAUUUGCUUCCUCAGCUCGGGGUCGGCGGGUACUACUAGUCGGUUUCCAUAAUGCACACCUCCAGUUUUGUCCUGCCAGAAUUGCUUAUAUCCCUCAUCCUUUACUGAGAUCUUCCUGAUGAUCCGUUGUAUUUCCUUAUCUCUUACUUGUGCUGACCGGAUUUGGUCUUCCAAAACUGAGUCAAGGGUGAUGUGACCAAGGGUUCCCUGAGAAAUAAUCUCCAAACCGAGUUUUCCCAUCUCGUGACACAGAGUCUUGGUGAAAGCUGUUGACAACAAGCAGUUGCAAUGGUGCUUGCGACUAAGGGCAUCGGCUACCACAUUGGCUUUGCCGGGAUGAUAGUGCACUUCCAAAUCAUAAUCUUUUAUCAGCUCCAACCAUCUUCUUUGGUGCAUGUUGAGGUCGGCUUGAGUGAAGAUGUACUUGAGGCUCUUGUGGUCGGUGUAGAUGUUGCAGUGGGUUCCCAUUAGGUAGUAUCUCCAUAUCUUCAAGGCAUGUAUCACUGCCGCUAGCUCAAGGUCAUGGGUUGGGUAGAUCAGCUCAUGAGGUCGUAACGCCCGUGAGGCAUAGGCAAUGACUCGAUUGUCUUGCAUAAGAACACACCCAAGUCCAGUGCCAGAGGCGUCACAGUAUACGUCAUACGGCCUAGAGGGGUCGGGCUGAGCCAAAACUGGGGCUGUGGUCAGCAAGUGCUUCAGGGUCUUGAAGGCUUCUUCACACUUGUUGUCCCACACAAAUUUGACCUCUUUCUUCAACAACUCGGUCAUCGGCUUAGCUAUCUUAGAGAAAUCUGGUAUGAAGCGCCGAUAGUAGCCGGCCAGUCCAAGGAAACUUCUGAUCUGGUGCACCGAGGCAGGAGGCUUCCAUUCCAUGACUUCCUGCACCUUACUGGGGUCAACGGCGAUACCAUCCUUGGAGAUAGUGUGUCCCAAAAACUUAACACUAUCUAACCAAAACUCACACUUGGAGAACUUGGCAUAGAGUUGGUGAUCUCUUAGCCGUUGGAGAACUACAUGAAGAUGGUCGGCAUGUUCCUCUUCGUUCUUCGAGUACACUAGGAUAUCAUCAAUGAACACUACUACAAACUUGUCCAGCUCGGGCAUGAAUACCGAGUUCAUGAGGUACAUGAAAUAGGCGGGUGCAUUGGUGAGUCCAAAGGACAUGACUAGAUACUCGUACAGUCCAUAUCUGGUAGAGAAAACUGUCUUAGGUAUGUCGCAGGGUCGGAUCUUGAUUUGGUGAUAACCAGAAUAAAGAUCGAUCUUGGAGAACACUUUUGCUCCGGCUAACUGAUCAAACAAGACAUCAAUGCGUGGCAGUGGGUACUUGUUCUUGACGGUCACAGCAUUGACGGGUCGGUAAUCCACACACAUACGUAGACUGCCAUCCUUCUUCUUCACAAACAGGGCAGGGCAACCCCAAGAUGAGGUGCUAGGUCGGAUGAAGCCUUUUUCCAACAGGUCAUGCAACUGGGUCUUCAACUCGGCUAACUCAGCGGGUGGCAUCCGAUAGGGUCUCUUAGAUAUUGGUGUUGUGCCAAGGAUCAACUCUAUGGAAAACUCCACUUCUCUAUCAGGUGGCAUACCUGGCAAGUCUUUCGGAAACACGUCAGGGUACUCACAGAUAACGGGAAGGCUUUCCAGACGGGCUCCCGACAGAGGGUAGGCACAAGGAGGUGUAGACUUAGGAUGUUUCAAGGAUAAGACAGAACUGCCAUGGAAGGGUGAGCUGAUGUAGAGGGAUCGGGCUGCUGUAUCUAGAACCACAUGAUGUCGGGCCAUCCAAUCCAUACCAAGGAUGACAUCUAUGCCUUCUAGGUCAAGGAUGAUAAGGUUUUCCUUGAAGAGGGUGGGGCCUAGCUGGAGAGGUACAAGAGUAACAAUCUGAUCCGAUGUUAUCUUUCCCCCAGGAGUGGCGAUCACAUAAGGUUCCUUAGUGUGACCGACAUCCAGCUCACAUCUUUCCCUAACCUUACUCCCGAUAAAGCUAUGAGAGGCUCCCGAAUCAAACAACACAACAACAGCUUGAUUUAAAACAAGGAAAGUACCCGUCAUUACUGGCGCACCUUCGGGGAGCUCGGUCAAGCUGGUGUAGUUGAGUCGGCCUUGUCGGACUUGCACCUUGGGCCUUCUUCCUCUGGCUGCCAUGGGGUUCUGACCUUGCUGUUGAUUUUUGUUCCUGGGGCAGUCCUUUGCAAAAUGCCCUUCAUUGCCGCAGGUAGAACAACGGCUACUGGCUGUCGGGCGGGGUGGUGUUGGCAGGGUCGGCCGGGGCACCUACGGUUGGAAGCCUGGAAAACGAGGCGCUGUUACUGGCGGGGGUCGGGCAAUCCACCUUCCUGACUGUUGGGGUCGGCCAGGGGCUUGUGGAGGAACCAUCCGGAACCUUCGAGUCGGCUGACUCGGAAAUGCCACGGAGGCUUUCCUCUUCUGGUCGGCCUUGAGAGCUUGCAUGCAAUCCUCUUGAGAGAUGGCCAGAUUGACCAACUCAUUGUAGGUGUCCACCUUGAUGGGGUUCAACCUUUCCCUGAGCUCCAAGCUCAGUCCUCGGCGGAAUCUGUCCCGCUUCUUCUCGUCUGUGUCUGCAUGGUAGCCGGCAUAACGGCACAGGUCGUUGAAAGCUUGAGCGUAGUGCAGCACAUCUCGGGUUCCUUGGGUAAGGGCCAGAAACUCGUUGAGCUUGCGCUCCAAGAGACCUUCUAGAAUGUGAUGCGCUUUGAACGCCGUCUUGAACUCAUUCCAGCUGACCACAUGGCCAGCCGGCAACAUGGCAUGGUAGUGAUCCCACCAAAGCCGUGCGGAGCCACGCAGCUGUUGAGCUGCAAACCGAGCCUUGUUGUUGUUGGGGCAUGGGGCGGUGAGAAGCUCAAACUUGGAUUCGAUCGUACGAACCCAGGCGUCAGCAUCGAGCGGUUCUUGUGUCUUUUGGAACAAAGGGGGUUGUGUCCCCAGAAAGUCCUCAUACCGAGCGAUAUGCGGCUGCUGCUGAGCCCUUCCACCAUGGGGCUGUUGCUGUUGCCCUUGUACCAGAUGCCUUAGCAGCUCAGUUUGAGUUGCUAGGAUUGCCUCCAGUGGCGAUGAGGGCGGGGGUGGGGGAAGAUCCUGUCGCUGUUCGCUACUGUCGGGCACAGAACCAGACCUGGUGCAGUGCGCCAUCUGCAAGAGUUAACGCUCCAUUAAAUUCAUAACCUUAGAUGUACUCCAACAAAUGGAUCGCAUAAUUUAAAUUCUCCAAUGCAACUCUUGCCAAUGGUGCAACACACGUCCUCAUAGGGAAAACACACUUUUCUCAUUCUCAUUGUAGAUAACAUUUAUCUUGACCUGGUACUCAACUUCAGGCAAAACAUGUCACCUAUGAUCCAACUCAAGCCAAGGGGGUCGGGCUAGGCGAUCCUUCCGAGAAAAAGGGGUCGGCAACGAUCCAUACUUAAAAAGGGUCGGACGAGGCGGAAACUGCCUCAAGGGUCGGCGCACUCGGUCUCACAAACUGGGGUCGGCCAACUGAACAGGCUCCCCAAAAACAGCAUAUGGUCAUGGCGCAACUCACUUAGCCUAGCAUCCAACACUGUGCAAGGAUUAAAGGCCAGACACCAGAAUUGACUUUAUAUACCACGGUGUUCCAAUCACAGGGAGUACUCGACUCAAGGCUAACCUAUUACAACCUUUCCAAAAAUUUAGGCUGCCGAGGAGUACAACAAAAGAAUGAUUCCCUGAGAACCCUCAAUCUACCAAUGGACACUAUGAGUAGGAGAAGGGGCACCAUCUUCCUCGAUAUCCAUGCUGGACACUCCUUCGUCUUCCUCAGGGUCCUCUUGAGCUUCGAGCUGCAUGUGGAGGGCAUGCAUAUCAUCGAGCUCAGCUUGAUGCUCCUCCAAAUGGGCAUUGGCAACUGCCAACUCCAUUUCUAUCUCCAUCUUCUCCUCCGAUAGCUCUAUCAUGCCGUCCACUAGGUCGGCGACUUCUCCCUCAAGCUCGGAGAUCCGGUCUUGCAUGUCGUGGAUCUGGAUACCCCGUUGAAUAAGCUGGUAGGUUUGGCCUACCAUAUCUCUCCUUGCCGAUUGGAGGUACCCGUGAGCAUCCGCUGCUGUCCGGGCGAAGAGGGUCAUAGCUCUCCCUUGAAGCUCUAUCAGCCGGUAAAGAGCUGCCAUGCACCUGAUAUUGGUGGAGAUGGUGACCAUGGCGCAUGUGGUGGCUAGCACCUCAAUAUUCCCGACACGGUCGAGCCAUGCCGGGUCCAGCCGGUUCCUGACGGGGAAAAGGCCGAUCGGGUCGAGCGUGAUCUCCAAGGGAUGCAGCUGGCAGAACUGGGUGAGAAGCUGGAGGGCGGCAGACUCCCAUGUGUCCUCAGGAGCAAGGCCAUAGGCUAUUAUGCCGAAAGAGGGCCAGUCGGGCCGCACAGGGGGAGGAGGUACCACCGCCUGCACUUGGCAUGUCUGGAUACCCUGCUCCAGAUAUAGCCGUCCAGCAUACAAGGGUGGGGACUGGUACCCAAACCACUUCAACAUGUCCCACAGAAUCGCGGGAAAUCCCUCGAAAUGCAGACAUGUCGACUGGAAAGUACCAUCCACUCCAAAAAUAACAUGCCCGGGAACAGCCAUCUGGAACCAAGAAACCGAAACCACGUGAGAUAGACUCCAAGGGUCAGGGGUCGGACAGAGAUGCAUUCGGCUUUAACCGAGAGCAACUGAAAGAAACUAGAAAUCCUUAGAUCCAAAAAGAACUCCUCCGAAUAAGGUUGCUGUUGAGAAGGAAACCUUACAGCUUCCUAGUUAUGACGCAUGCACGGCCUACCUUACACUUAACCAAAAACAACUGCCCGAAACUUUGGGUCUUACGCGGUCAGUGCCGGUGACAAGGCAACAAUUACGUCUCUCCCUAUAAUAACUAGUCGGUUCUAACAACGUCCCCUAAACGAACGCGGUUAGCGUACCUGUAGAGAAACACCCACACACGAACCUUUCGUGCCAGCACCCACGAAAGCGUUCCCAAACAUUACCGCUCACUAUAGGAACGGCACCCAUGCGUUUAAGGCUGCAUGGAUAGCACUCAACCGUGGAAAUAGGUUCCCUUUGAAUGGAACCAUAUAACCCUUCGCAUACUCGUGAUGCGAAAUCAGCACACGUAUGACAAACGUGGCGAACCAACCGUGCUGAUAGGUUCGUUGGAAUCGAACCGUACCAACCUUCGUAUGGAGUACAUACGGAACCUGCGCACGUGUGACAGACGUGGGCGAGAACAACCACGAUGAUAGGGUCCUUUGAAUAGAACUCCCUAUAAACCUUCGCAUGCUCGCGAUGCGGAACUCGGCACACGUAUGAUAGACGUGGCGAAGUGCUGGAAGGGUUAGCAAGAUAACCAAGUAAUUAUUAGUCACCUAAAACAACCCCAAAAUCCCCUAGGGCCUCUCGCACUAAAACCCUCCUUAACGAUCGUACGAGAUUUUUCAAAAAGUUUCUUGCAACUUUUAGCUUUUCAAAGAAGUGUUUAGGGCUUGUUGUGUUCUCUGUACUGCUAAACCGGCUCUGGUACCAGCUGUGGCGGAUCCACUUCGGAUUAGCUUGGUUUAACAUGGUUAAGUCGCCUAACAUGCGACACCGAUGCCUUAGCCAAGUUAACACGAGAUGCCGUCGGAUUUCAUCCGAUUUAACCACUUGAACAGGACCGCUUUAGCAAACUCACACGAAGGUGAGGGGUUUCAGAGAAUACAACAUGUCCACCGAGUUAACAACUUAACCACUUGAUUAAAUUUCGAAAGAACAUCAGAGUUUUACAAGGUCCAGAAAACAACAGAGGUAAACACUAGCGGAAGCAAUCGUCGGGGUCGGAUGUCCUGGUGAGGCCAGCCGGGACAUCACUGAUUCCUCUCCUCGCCGUCCGAGGAGGGAUCCCACUCGACCGUCCAGCCCGACGGAAGCUGGGGCGGCCAAGCGCCAGCAAGAGCGGGGUCGGGAGCAGCAGCUUCACCUGAAAAACAGGAGCCACAACAAGGCUGAGCUACUAAGCUCAACAAGACUUAACCGAUAGGAGUAAGCUACUCCCCACUUCUAGACAUGCAGGGCUUUUGGCUGGCGGGGGGGUUUGUUUGCCAAAAAGCACUAAGUAAAACCCUAUUUUCAAGUUUUAGCUCCGAUUCUAAGUUCAUUAGCCGGUCUAGGUUUUGCAACCUAUUCUAAGCAAUCAUAGAGCCAAACAAGAUGUGUAGAUAUAUCAACACACAUGUCAUCAUCAGAUUCCUCAUUUACUCAGGGUGACAUAGCGAUCAAGCAAUCUCAAACUGUGAGAGGCAGAUGAAUCGAUUCGAGUUCUUUAACCAUGCAUGGUGAACCUAACCUCACGACAUCCGCGCACCCGGAGGUCGCUUCCUGUGUCGGCCUUCCCCAUCAAUCCCCUAACCCGUGUCGGGCCCAUUUCCUUUGGUGCAAGGUUCCACCGACCCGGCCUCUGCCGUUCUGUGACCACGCUUGCCACCACGUGCGACAUCCAGCAGGGGAAACUCCGUUCCAAGAACAAUGGGGCGACCGCUCACGUCUAGGUUCAAUCCGGUACUAGGCUUCCUUAUCCCAUACUAAGUAUGAGGUUAGUACUUUCAAACACUUGAUCACGAACACCACCACUGUCGGGCCUUAGCAAGAUUUCAUAGACAGACGGGGCGACCAUCCAUCCACCAAAGAGUUACCAAAACCCUGCCCCGUCCAUCGUCCUUAUAGUUAUAACAGAAAGGGGUAGACAUGCAACUCCUACAGCUCGCGAGUGACAGGAAAUCACUCGGCUUUUACCGUCUUCUAGUUAAGCAAGGCAACUACUCGGUCCAACAGCUAGUGCUCAGAUCAUGGGGAUAACUAAGUCAUGCAUCUAGGGUUUCAGACAACUCCUAUACGUAAAUGCACAAGCAUGUUACAGAAGGCAUGCGCAAGUCUGGUAAAACACACAGGGUUUUUAUGCAACCGGGGCUUGCCUUCGAGCAAAGAGGAGGAGAACUGCUCGACUUCUGGGGUGGCUUCAGCUUCAGCGGGCAGGAGCUCAGCUACAGCUUCGUCUUCUGGCGCCGAGUGUAGCUCGUAGAAGCCGUCGGCGAGGUGCAGCUCUACACGAAUGCAAUGCAAGAGGUAGCAUAGACGGUUAUUUCAACAGCAACACUGGCUCGCCUGAGCCCAGAAACUCGCGACAAGGAGCAGGGGGGGUAGGGAGGUUCAAGAGAGCUGGUGAUGAUCAAGAGGCAAGGGUCGGAAAGGAACUUAUGAUCUGAUCCUUGAACUAGAGGAUGUGGUAUACUAGGAAUCCUCAGACGCAAGCGCUGAAGGGUUCCUAAAUUUUACACAUACACCCUCGGGUUGAAGAAAAAGAUCACAGCCGAGCCCUCGGGCGAGGCGGAUAAGGGUCGGCGGAACAGAUAGGGUCGGGCGAGACGGGACCGGGGUCGGGCGGAUAAGAGGGGUCGGGCGAAGCGGACUGGGGUCGGCAGCUUACCUUCUUCCUGAAAGGAAGGCUUGGGGUCGGGAAGAGGCAGACUUGGGCGGAGGGACUAAAGCUUUGAACAACGGCUAAGACUGGCAAUGCUCCGGCGGUGGCGAUGCUUCUUGCAGAUCACAAGUAAGCUUUUACGCAGCACGGAGGAGCAAGCGGCUGGGUGACUUGGAGAAAACUGAGGGAGAAGCUGAGAGAAGAGUUCCUCAAGGAACUUGGCGUGUGGCGCUAGGAGCUUGAGCAGGGAGCGAGAGAAUGGCUGAAGGCAACAAUGGCGGAGGGAACUCCGGUGGCUGGUGCAUCCCUUUUAUAGCUGCUGGAACGGAGAAAGUAAGCGGCGUGGGAGAGAGAGAGAAGGGGAGCGGCGUGAAGGCCGGGGAGAAGCAAUGGAGUGCUCUGCCGGGGCGGCGAUUGAGCGAAGAGGGCGGUGGUGCAGGACUCCGGGGGUGACGCCAGAUGUCAUUGGGUUCUGCCGUCAGGGCGGCGCAGGAGCGGGUAUGCCGGUGCUUGAGAUUUGGCGGAGGCGGGCGUCGCCGUGCGGAAGAUUUGAUAGAAGCGACCGGUUAAACGGCGCUAGAAUCGAGGGCGCACAGGUGAGAAGACAGGAGCCGCGGGCGCGCGGGCAAGCGCGGAGCAACAGAUUGUCGGGCGACUUCUGACAGGGCGGGGAAAAGAGAUGUCGCUGCCGUGGACGGGGUUGGCGGUGCAGGAAUCGUCGUGUAGCGGAGAUCAGGCGGCGCGACUGAGAUCGAAGUGACGGAAAAGACGGGCGACAUCGGGCUCUAGGGCCGGGAUCUGGCGGCGUGAUGAUGGGCGCGGGAGGCGAGGCUCUGCAGAAAGGUUGCAGAGGGGCUUCCGCCGCCAUUGGGGAAGGGGGCGCGAGAAUCCACUCGGUCGCGAGCCAGAGACAAAACUGAGCGGCGGCGUCGGAGAAGACGAGCCACGCGGCAGGGAGACUCUGAAGCGGGCAUGCAACUCGAGUGCGCCUGUCACGGAGGAUCUGGGGAAAAAGAUCUCGCGGGUCCACCGGGCGGAUAGAACGGACGUUUGAGGGAGACUUAGAAGGAUCCGACGGUUAACUGGAUUUGCCGGGGUCGGGAUCGGAGCGAAGCGGGGAGGGGUCGGGUCUCAGGGGUCGGGAUCGGGCUGAAGGCUGAGCACUCAGGCGCGGUAAAAACAAGGCAGAUGACUAUGAUCAAGGGCUCCGAUUAAGAUUAACUCGGGAGAUUAGGGGUCGGUUGUCACAACUGGACCCCUUAGAGUGCGCGUCGGCCAUGAAGCACUCGCGCGAGGGGUGGUGGCUCCCGUUGUUGGAGCCGGCAUCGGAAGUGGUCCUCGCCACGCCCACGAGCUCGUUGCUCACGGGUGGCACGGUCAUGGACCGUACUAGGAGACGACCGUAGGUCGCCGCGGCAUUGCGCAGCCCAAACGGCCGCUCCUCCGAAGGAGGCCCCUCAGUGCGCGCCCGGCCGCUCGCCACUAUCCUGGCGGCGGAGCCAGAGAUGAUGGGGCGAGCGGGCAAGACAAGGAGAGGGAUCAGCUCGAUCCCUUCCCCCGUGGCGAGGAAGUCCAAGCUCCCGAAGCGGACGUGGGAGCCCGGAGCGAAGCUGGUGUGGCCAUCUGAAGUCAGUGAUGUACGCGCAAAGGUCCCCUACCUGGCACGCCAACUGUCGUUGUCAAGAUUUACAGAUCGAGACUAUGGCUAGUAAAUUUCUUUUAUGCGCAUAAGGCUUUGGAUGGUGGCGUGGGAAGACACGGGGUUAGACUGGUUCGGGCAAGGAAGGCCCUACGUCCAGUAUGAGGUGCAGCUCGUGUUGCCCACGCGGGGUCUGUAGUAGGGGUUACAAACGGGCAAGAGAGGGAGCCGGUCCCAAGUCUCUUGGGUGUGCACUGAUGCUCUAGAGGAGAGUGUAUGUGAGUUCUGUUGGCUUGAGAGUCCCCCUAUCUCAGGGCUCCCGGUUCUCCUUUUAUAGCGCAAGGAGAGCUCAAGGUUACAGAUGAGUCAGGUGUGAGGAGAAGUAAAAGAGAUAAGCUAAGUAAAGUAAAAUACAAGGAGAGGGACCAAGUCCCCGGGUCACCGCCCGCUGCUCUAGCCUUCGGCCCCUAUCAGCGCGUCCACCAGAGGAGGGCGGCUGCCUUUGGAUCCUGUCGACGAUCCUCCUGGCGACCGCUGCCGCCAAGCAUGAUGAUGGUGUUCGGUUAUGGCAACUGUGCGUGUCAGGGAAGACGGCUAACCCCUGUUGUCUUGCUUGCGGCCCGUGGAACACGGACGUCAUGUCCCUGUCUGUAGAUAUGCGGGGCGCGAGAGCGGAUGGAACUCCCUCCUGCGCCGGACGGUGCAGGCCAUGAGUGCUUCUUGACGAAUCAGGGGGAGCGGCAGCCACUGUAGCCUAUGCGGUCGCGGCUACAGUGUUCCGCCCGGGUACUUGUGGCGGUCAUGUCAAGGGGCGCGGGUGCCUUUCUGCGCGUCAUAGCCGCGGUGCAUUUAUGGCAAGAUCGAUGAGGGGCCCACGAGAUCCGUGCCCUCGUCUGCCAGUCUGCGCCCGAGGCGGAUUCUUGUCUUGUGGGUCCGAAUGAGUCCGACCCCCUACGCCAGAGGUCGGGCGAGGCGGAGUUUUGCCAUCGAGGGGUCAUGAGUAUCCGACCCCGGGGCCUUGGGUCGGGCAAGACGGAGCAGGAUGUUCCCUGCCCAUGCUGGGCCGACGGCAAUCGUCAGUAUCGCAAGUGGGCCUGGACCUUCAUGAUUGUUGUCUUAGGGGUCAUUAGCAGGUCGUUAAUGUUUAUCUUUCACUAUAAGCAAUAGUGAAAUGCCAACAGGAUGAAAGUGAUGAACAAUGGGGUGUAGGACCUUGGAACUGAGGAACGGAGGUGCUUGGAGAACUGAUAGGAGAGAAAGGGCAUGGGGCAGCUGGACCUGUCAUCGGUCAAGUCUGUUGGAAAUACUUUGAAGGUGGUCAAAAGGGAAACUAACAGAGAGGAAAAAUAGGAGGGAUAAGGUGACGCCCGACUACGUUUCCCUCGCGAACGUCCACCUCGCACCUCGAUCGGAGGUGCAACCGAACUAUGGUUGUGGCCCCGAGCGACCCUGCGCUAUAAGAAGUGGGGGGGCUGGCGGGUUUUGGGUUGACUGCUAACGCACCAAAACCUCCAGAGAAC